rnacentral:rRNA from 1 species
GAGUUUGAUCCUGGCUCAGAUUGAACGCUGGCGGCAUGCUUUACACAUGCAAGUCGAACGGUAACAGGCCGCAAGGUGCUGACGAGUGGCGAACGGGUGAGUAAUGCAUCGGAACGUGCCCAGUCGUGGGGGAUAACUACUCGAAAGAGUAGCUAAUACCGCAUACGAUCUAUGGAUGAAAGCGGGGGACCGUAAGGCCUCGCGCGAUUGGAGCGGCCGAUGUCAGAUUAGGUAGUUGGUGGGGUAAAGGCUCACCAAGCCAACGAUCUGUAGCUGGUCUGAGAGGACGACCAGCCACACUGGGACUGAGACACGGCCCAGACUCCUACGGGAGGCAGCAGUGGGGAAUUUUGGACAAUGGGCGCAAGCCUGAUCCAGCAAUGCCGCGUGCAGGAAGAAGGCCUUCGGGUUGUAAACUGCUUUUGUACGGAACGAAACGGCUCUGGUUAAUACCCGGGGCUAAUGACGGUACCGUAAGAAUAAGCACCGGCUAACUACGUGCCAGCAGCCGCGGUAAUACGUAGGGUGCAAGCGUUAA